rnacentral:lncRNA from 1 species
CAUCCAUUGAAUGGGAGGAGAGGAUCAUGUAACCCUACUUGCUCCUAUGACUGGACGACCUGGUGAUUAUCCAAUCUGAAUACUUUGCUACUCAAAUCAUCUAAUCUAACAUAUAAAAAAUUAGAUCUAAAAAUUAAAUAUAUUUAAAUCUAAUCUAAAUAAUAAAUAAUCAUAUCUAAUAGCAUAUAAUCAGAUCUAAAAAUAUAUUAAAUUAUAUCAUAAAGAAUCUGGCUCUGAUACCAACUGAAGGAA